rnacentral:rRNA from 1 species
UGGGGAAUUUUGGACAAUGGGCGGAAGCCUGAUCCAGCAAUGCCGCGUGUGUGAAGAAGGCCUUCGGGUUGUAAAGCACUUUUGUCCGGAAAGAAAUCCUCUGGGUUAAUACCUCGGGGGGAUGACGGUACCGGAAGAAUAAGCACCGGCUAACUACGUGCCAGCAGCCGCGGUAAUACGUAGGGUGCAAGCGUUAAUCGGAAUUACUGGGCGUAAAGCGUGCGCAGGCGGUUUUGUAAGACGGAUGUGAAAUCCCCGGGCUUAACCUGGGAACUGCAUUCGUGACUGCAAGGCUAGAGUAUGGCAGAGGGGGGUAGAAUUCCACGUGUAGCAGUGAAAUGCGUAGAGAUGUGGAGGAAUACCGAUGGCGAAGGCAGCCCCCUGGGCCAAUACUGACGCUCAUGCACGAAAGCGUGGGGAGCAAACAGGAUUAGAUACCCUGGUAGUCCACGCCCUAAACGAUGUCAACUAGUUGUUGGGGAUUCAUUUCCUUAGUAACGUAGCUAACGCGUGAAGUUGACCGCCUGGGGAGUACGGUCGCAAGAUUAAAACUCAAAUGAAUUGACGGGGUCAUAGCUGUUUCC